AUACGAAGGUCCCAAGCGUUAUUCGGAAUCACUGGGCGUAAAGAGUACGUAGGCGGUUUGGUAAGUCAGGUGUGAAAUCCCGAAGCUCAACUUCGGAACUGCAUCCGAUACUGCCAGACUUGAGUAAUCGAGAGGCAGGUGGAAUUCUCGGUGUAGCAGUGAAAUGCGUGGAUAUCGAGAGGAAGACCAAUGGCGAAGGCAGCCUGCUGGACAUUUACUGACGCUGAGGUACGAAGGCUAGGGGAGCGAAAGGGAUUAGAAACCCCAGUAGUCC
rnacentral:rRNA from 1 species